rnacentral:rRNA from 1 species
ACGCUGGCGGCACGCCUAAUACAUGCAAGUCGAACGAAGUAGCAAUACUUAGUGGCAGACGGGUGAGUAACAUGUGGGUAUCUUCCCUAUGGUGAGGAAUAACACGAGGAAACUUGUGCUAAUACCUCAUAAGUCUUUACGGAGAAAGCUUUAUGCGCCAUUGGAUGAGCCCGCACUUGAUUAGUUUGUUGGUAGGGUAAUGGCCUACCAAGACAUAGAUCAAUAGCUGAUUUGAGAGGAUGAUCAGCCACAUUGGGACUGAGACACGGCCCAAACUCCUACGGGAGGCAGCAGUAGGGAAUCUUGCACAAUGGGGGAAACCCUGAUGCAGCGAUGCCGCGUGAGUGAAGAAGGCCUUUGGGUUGUAAAGCUCUUUCGUCGGGGAAGAAAAUGACUGUACCCGAAUAAGAAGGUCCGGCUAACUUCGUGCCAGCAGCCGCGGUAAUACGAAGGGACCUAGCGUAGUUCGGAAUUACUGGGCUUAAAGAGUUCGUAGGUUGUUGAAAAAGUUGGUGGUGAAAUCCCAGAGCUUAACUCUGGAACUGCCAUCAAAACUUUUUAGCUAGAGCAUGAUAGAGGAAAGCAGAAUUUCUAGUGUAGAGGUGAAAUUCGUAGAUAUUAGAAAGAAUACCAAUUGCGAAGGCAGCUUUCUGGAUCAUUGCUGACACUGAGGAACGAAAGCAUGGGUAGCGAAGAGGAUUAGAUACCCUCGUAGUCCAUGCCGUAAACGAUGUGUGUUAGACGUUGGAAAUUUAUUUUCAGUGUCGCAGCGAAAGCAUUAAACACACCGCCUGGGGAGUACGACCGCA